rnacentral:rRNA from 1 species
CAUGUAGGCGGAGCAGUGUGUGUCUUGUGAAAGCCCUCGGCUCAACCGAGGAAUUGCUUGGCAAACUGCUGCUCUUGAGGCAGGUAGAGGCGACUGGAACCUUUGGUGGAGAGGUGAAAUUCGUAGAUAUCAAAGGGAACGCCGGUGGCGAAAGCGGGUCGCUGGGCCUGUCCUGACGCUGAGAUGCGAAAGCGUAGGGAGCGAACG